UGCCCAGUUAACUUAUUUACAAUAUUUAAGUUCUCUGCUUCUGCAUUUGGUUGGUUUCCUGAAGCGCAGCCCCUGUGAAUAACAGGUGGCUUUUCAUGGAUGUCUCUAGUCAGAGAAAAAUGAUAAAGGCUUAAAUUGAGGAUUAACAGAAGCAGAUUAACCUCAGAAAUCCUGUCUGGCUGGCAGAUUUCAAGUAAAAAAAAAAAAAAGGUGGGUUGGGGGGACCCUUUUCUUUCUAGUUGUCUUUAAGGAAAAUUAAUUUUACUUUUUUUUUUGUUCUGGCCGAAAUUUUUAUGAGAUAUCUCUCACUUGUCUUCCACUUUGAACCGGUUAAAGCUCAUAGCUGUCAGCUCUGAAUGAGGAGGGGAGAAGCCCCUGGGUCUUUCUUUGAAAGGAAUCCGCUGCUUGAGGGCUGCCUCCCUCAUGGUGUGCGUGUCGUUUCUCUUCCUGACGCAUCUUGUGAUAUCAGAGGUAACUAUGCAAAGCAUCCAGGCGGUUCUGAAUGUGAAGCACUACACCCAGCAGAGUCCCGGUGCCCUCUGUCCCCACUGCCGGCCCAUGUUCUCUCUCCGGAGGUCACCAAGGAAUGCACAGGUUUCGACUACCAGAAAGGGGAGUCCUUGGGUUCUUUCAAAAAAUUCGUGAGGAGAGCUGUCUACAGUGGAAUAGGGGGUCUCCCUGGGGAAUGCAGGCCAAGUCCUUUUAUUUUAACAUGAUGUCCAUGAAGAGGUUUGCCGUCUGGGCAGCCCUGUCGGCAAGGAGCGUGCAUACUGCGUUUGUGUAAUUGUUUGCUGUAUCUCCCUUCCCUCUGAGCUGUAUUGUUCUUUAAUGGCUGU
rnacentral:lncRNA from 1 species